rnacentral:rRNA from 1 species
UGGGGAAUUUUGGACAAUGGGGGCAACCCUGAUCCAGCCAUGCCGCGUGAGUGAAGAAGGCCUUCGGGUUGUAAAGCUCUUUCGGCCGGGAAGAAAUCGCGCCAGCUAAUACCUGGUGUGGAUGACGGUACCGGAAGAAGAAGCACCGGCUAACUACGUGCCAGCAGCCGCGGUAAUACGUAGGGUGCGAGCGUUAAUCGGAAUUACUGGGCGUAAAGCGUGCGCAGGCGGCUCUAUAAGACAGAUGUGAAAUCCCCGGGCUUAACCUGGGAACUGCGUUUGUGACUGUAGGGCUUGAGUGCGGCAGAGGGGGGUGGAAUUCCACGUGUAGCAGUGAAAUGCGUAGAGAUGUGGAGGAACACCGAUGGCGAAGGCAGCCCCCUGGGUCGACACUGACGCUCA